GGCUAGCUGGGUCGGCGGCGACCGGGGA
rnacentral:sRNA from 1 species